UUACGGCAAUACCACGUUGCGGUUGAAACUACCGGUUUCAGUACGAUCACCGAAGUUAAGCGACGUCGAGCCUGGUCAGUAUCUAGAUGGGAGACCACUUAGCAUACCAGGAGUUGUAU